rnacentral:rRNA from 1 species
AUUACCCAAUCCCGAUUCGGGGAGGUAGUGACAAUAAAUAACAAUACAGGGCCAACGGUCUUGUUAUUGGAAUGAGAACAAUUUAAAUAACUUAACGAGGAUCAAUUAGAGGGCAAGUCUGGUGCCAGCAGCCGCGGUAAUCCCAGCUCUAAUAGCGUAUAUUAAAGUUGUUGCAGUUAAAAAGCUCGUAGUCGGAUGUCGGGCUCGGGCAAGCUGUCGGCCUUUGGUCGGACGGCAGGCUCGGGUCUUUCUGCCUGAGGAACCCGGUUGCUUUAACGAGCUGCCGGUGGACGCAGGUCGUUUACUUUGAAAAAAUUAGAGUGUUCAAAGCAGGCUAGCGCUUGAAUACAUUAGCAUGGAAUAAUGGAAUAGGACUUUGGUGCUAUUUUGUUGGUUUAUGGGACCGAAGUAAUGAUUAACAGGGACAGUUGGGGCCGUUUAUAUUUCGUUGUCAGAGGUGAAAUUCUUGGAUUUACGAAAGAUAAACUUCUGCGAAAGCAUUCGGCAAGGAUGUUUUCAUUGAUCAAGAACGAAAGUUAGGGGAUCGAAGACGAUCAGAUACCGUCGUAGUCUUAACCAUAAACUAUGCCGACUAGGGAUCAGUGGAUGUCAAUUUGCGACUCCAUUGGCACCUUGUGAGAAAUCAAAGUUUUUGGGUUCCGGGGGGAGUAUGGUCGCAAGGCUGAAACUUAAAGGAAUUGACGGAAGGGCACCACCAGGAGUGGAGCCUGCGGCUUAAUUUGACUCAACACGGGGAAACUUACCAGGUCCAGACAUAGUAAGGAUUGACAGAUUGAAAGCUCUUUCUUGAUUCUAUGGGU